rnacentral:rRNA from 1 species
ACGGGGUGCAGCAGGCGCGAAACCUCCGCAAUACACGAAAGUGUGACGGGGUUACCCAAAGUGUUCUAUUUAGAACUGUGGUAGGUGAGUAAUGUCCCCUACUAGAAAGGAGAGGGCAAGGCUGGUGCUAGCCGCCGCGGUAAAACCAGCUCUUCAAGUGGUCGGGAUAAUUAUUGGGCUUAAAGUGUCCGUAGCCGGUUUAGUAAGUUCCUGGUAAAAUCGGGUAGCUUAACUAUCUAUAUGCUAGGAAUACUGCUAUACUAGAGGGCGGGAGAGGUCUGAGGUACUACAGGGGUAGGGGUGAAAUCUUAUAAUCCUUGUAGGACCACCAGUGGCGAAGGCGUCAGACUGGAACGCGCCUGACGGUGAGGGACGAAAGCCAGGGGAGCGAACCGGAUUAGAUACCCGGGUAGUCCUGGCCGUAAACGAUGCAUACUAGGUGAUGGCACGGCCAUGAGCCGUGUCAGUGCCGUAGGGAAACCGUUAAGUGUGCCGCCUGGAAGUACGUCGCAAGC